rnacentral:rRNA from 1 species
UACGUAGGGUGCGAGCGUUGUCCGGAAUUACUGGGCGUAAAGAGCUCGUAGGCGGUUUGUCACGUCGGCUGUGAAAUCCCAUCGCUCAACGAUGGGCUUGCAGUCGAUACGGGCUGACUUGAGUACUGCAGGGGAGACUGGAAUUCCUGGUGUAGCGGUGAAAUGCGCAGAUAUCAGGAGGAACACCGGUGGCGAAGGCGGGUCUCUGGGCAGUAACUGACGCUGAGGAGCGAAAGCGUGGGUAGCAAACAGG